rnacentral:misc_RNA from 1 species
GAUGAAGAACGCAGCGAAAUGCGAUAAGUAGUGUGAAUUGCAGAAUUCCGUGAAUCAUCGAAUCUUUGAACGCACAUUGCGCCCUUUGGUAUUCCUUAGGGCAUGCCUGUUCGAGCGUCAUUAUAACCCCUCAAGCUCAGCUUGGUGUUGGGGCCUGCUGCACUGGCAGCCCUUAAAAUCAGUGGCGGCGCCAUCUGGCUCUAAGCGUAGUAAUUCUUCUCGCUAUGGAGUCCUGGUGGAUGCUUGCCAUCAACCCCCAAUUUUUCUAUGGUUGACCUCGGAUCAGGUAGGGAUACCCGCUGAACUUAAGCAUAUCAAUAAGCGGAGGA